rnacentral:rRNA from 1 species
UACGUAGGGUGCAAGCGUUGUCCGGAUUCACUGGGUGUAAAGGGUGCGCAGGCGGAUUGGCAAGUCAGAGGUGAAAUCUCACGGCUCAACCGUGAAACUGCCUUUGAUACUGCUGAUCUUGAGUUAGGGAGAGGUUGAUGGAAUUCUAGGUGUAGCGGUGAAAUGCGUAGAUAUCUAGAAGAACACCAGUGGCGAAGGCGGCUAACUGGUCCGGUUCUGACGCUGAGGCGCGAAAGCGUGGGGAGCAAACAGG